GAACGAGUGCCUUCGGGUGCUAGUGGCGCACGGGUGCGUAACGCGUGGGAAUCUGCCCCUUGGUUCGGAAUAACCGUUGGAAACGACGGCUAAUACCGGAUGAUGACGUAAGUCCAAAGAUUUAUCGCCGAGGGAUGAGCCCGCGUAGGAUUAGGUAGUUGGUGUGGUAAAGGCGCACCAAGCCGACGAUCCUUAGCUGGUCUGAGAGGAUGAUCAGCCACACUGGGACUGAGACACGGCCCAGACUCCUACGGGAGGCAGCAGUGGGGAAUAUUGGACAAUGGGCGAAAGCCUGAUCCAGCAAUGCCGCGUGAGUGAUGAAGGCCUUAGGGUUGUAAAGCUCUUUUACCCGGGAUGAUAAUGACAGUACCGGGAGAAUAAGCUCCGGCUAACUCCGUG
rnacentral:rRNA from 1 species